rnacentral:rRNA from 1 species
UGGGGGAUAUUGCACAAUGGGCGAAAGCCUGAUGCAGCGACGCCGCGUGGGGGAUGAAGGCCUUCGGGUUGUAAACUUCUUUUGCUCGGAACAAGGCAUGCCUUUGGGGUGUGUUGAGUGUAGGGGUGGAUCAGUGCAGGCUAACUACGUGCAAGCAGCCGCGGUAAUACGUAGGGCGCGAGCGUUGUCCGGAAUUAUUGGGCGUAAAGGGCUUGAAGGUGGCUGAUUGCGUUUGUCGUGAAAGCUCAUGGCUUAACUGUGGGUUUGCGGUGGGUACGGGCUGGCUUGAGUGUGGUAGGGGAGGCUGGAAUUCCUGGUGUAGCGGUGGAAUGCGCGGAUAUCAGGAGGAAUACCGGUGGCGAAGGCGGGUCUCUGGGCUGUAACUGACGCUGAGGAGCGAAAGCGUGGGGAGCGAACAGG